rnacentral:rRNA from 1 species
GCAUGCAGUCGAGCGACGCAUGUAACCCACUGGUAUGACGGAGCGGCGAACGGGUGAGUAACACGUGAGUAACCUGCCCCACAGACCGGGACAGCCCAGGGAAACCUGGAUUAAUACCGGAUAUCCUCGAAGGAUCGCAUGAUCUUUCGAGGAAAUGCCUUUGUGCUGUGGGAUGGGCUCGCGACUUAUCAGCUAGUUGGUGGGGUAACGGCCUACCAAGGCGUCGACGAGUAGCUGGUCUGAGAGGACGAUCAGCCACACUGGGACUGAGACACGGCCCAGACUCCUACGGGAGGCAGCAGCAGGGAAUCUUGCGCAAUGGGCGAAAGCCUGACGCAGCAACGCCGCGUGGGGGAUGAAGGCCUUCGGGUUGUAAACCCCUUUCAGGAGGGAAGAAAUUGACGGUACCUCCAAAAGAAGCACCGGCCAACUACGUGCCAGCAGCCGCGGUAAUACGUAGGGUGCGAGCGUUAUCCGGAAUCAUUGGGCGUAAAGAGCUCGUAGGCGGUUCAGUAAGUCGGCUGUGAAAUUUCGAGGCUCAACCUCGAAACUGCAGUCGAAACUGCUGUGACUCGAGUCCGGUAGAGGAGAAUGGAAUUCCCGGUGUAGCGGUGAAAUGCG